rnacentral:rRNA from 1 species
AACGAACGCUGGCGGCAGGCUUAACACAUGCAAGUCGAGCGCCCCGCAAGGGGAGCGGCAGACGGGUGAGUAACGCGUGGGAACGUACCUUUUGCUACGGAAUAGCUCCGGGAAACUGGAAUUAAUACCGUAUGUGCCCUUCGGGGGAAAGAUUUAUCGGCAAAAGAUCGGCCCGCGUCUGAUUAGCUAGUUGGUGGGGUAAUGGCCUACCAAGGCGACGAUCAGUAGCUGGUCUGAGAGGAUGAUCAGCCACACUGGGACUGAGACACGGCCCAGACUCCUACGGGAGGCAGCAGUGGGGAAUAUUGGACAAUGGGGGCAACCCUGAUCCAGCCAUGCCGCGUGAGUGAUGAAGGCCUUAGGGUUGUAAAGCUCUUUCGUCAGGGAAGAUAAUGACGGUACCUGAAGAAGAAGCCCCGGCUAACUUCGUGCCAGCCGCCGCAGUAACAC